UGAAGGGGCGUGGCUGAGGUGAGGGAAACCAGAUGAAGGGGCGUGGCUGAGGUGAGGGAGACCUGAUGAAGGGGCGUGGCUGAGGUGAGGGAGACCUGAUGAAGGGGCGUGGCUGAGGUGAGGGACACCUGAUGAAGGGGCGUGGCUGAGGUGAGGGAGACCUGAUGAAGGGGCGUGGCUGAGGUGAGG